rnacentral:lncRNA from 10 species
AGAGUACAAGGGGAAACUUACAGCAAAAUUUUCACUGUUGAUAGCUUUCCUGGGGAAGACAACACAUGCACAAAUCCUGGUGUUAGGAAUAUUUUAAGCAUAUAUCUGCAAUAUUAUUCAUCCAGGACUGAAGUAAGUCCUGAUGCAGGAAAUGAGUGAGUUUCACAGCUUUCUGAGCCCCUACUUGACCCAGGAAGCCCAGCUGGCACCUCCUCUCAGUUCCACAUUUACAGUUUUGGAGGCUAGAAGUAAAGAAGUCAAGGUGUUGUAAGGGGAGUGCUGUCACUAAAACAGGUUAUUUGAUAAUUAUCAAGCACUGUUCCAAGAAUGAGGAUUUCAGUAUUAGGAAUUCAGGAGCAGUUUGGUUUGACAGUUCUGAUUCUAGGAUUUUCAUGAGGUUGGCGUCAGAUCUCAGCUGGAGCUGCAGGCAUCUGAUGGUUUGAAGUUGGAGGAUCCAUCCCCAAGAUGGAGUUUCACUUUUUUUAACCAGGUUGGAGUGCAAUGACGCGAUCUCGGCUCACUGCAACCUCCGCCUCCCAUGUUCAAGCAAUUCUCCUGCCUCAGCCUCCCAAGUAGCUGGGAUUACAGGUGCCUGCCACCACGCCCGGCUAAUUUUUGUAUUUUUUAGUAGAGAUGGGAUUUCUCCAUGUUGGCCAGGCUGAUCUCAAACUGCAAAGCCACCUUUGCAGAUGACAUGAUCAUUUAUGUAGAAAAUCUGAAUUACAGCCAUGCUGCAGGAAACAAGGCUAAUACACAAAAGACAAUCACUUUCUUGUAUACCAACAACAGUGUUUUAGAUGACUGCAGUAAGAAGGUGUUCCGGAAUGUCUAGUCUGCCAUAUCACUGGAAACAGAAGGCCGUCUCAUUCUCUCUGAUGUCAUGAUUAUCUGUGUUCUUGCUCACACCAGACCUUCAAUAAAUGACCAAAUCACACCUAGGAGAGUGUCUAGACAUUGGUGCCUUAGAAGUCAUAAUAGACUGAAUAUCUACCUUCUUUGAAUUCCUGUAUAUUAUUUUGCAAGGGACAAACCACUACUAAUAUCCUUUACCCCUAGGAAAACUA